UUCGGCUCUCGCUGGGCUCUGUCUUCUCCACCAGAAGAAUGACCUCAGACCGAACAUGGGAAGAUGCCUGGCAGAUGUGCCGAGGACUGAAAAUGCAAAGCGAACAAGGUAAUCCGAGUUAUCUGAGAAAAAGAGCUUGAAGUGUUCAGCCAGAGAUGAGACGAUCAUCCGAAAGAAACAAGGAGGAGCAGACACCUGCCUUGGUUGGGCAUUGAAUUGGACGAUAGGUCUGAGGAAGAGCUACACUGGUUGAUUAUUGCAGGAAUGAAAGGCACUCUGACCUUGUGGACCGACCGCCUCGCAGCUUUCAAUGCUGCCCAUUAUACCGAAGGCAGGCAACUCCUGGAGAGAGGCGGAAUCUACAGGAGAGCUGCUCCCUGGGCAACUUGCCAGAAAAGGCUUCAUCAGCUGCAGUUCAGACAUGGCCAGACAGCUCAGGCAGCAAAGGAAACAGCUGGGGGGUGGGGGGUGGAAACAGAGUAUAUAAAAAUAUUGUUAGCAGGCAGUCUAAAGAGCUCUCCGGCAUCUAUGCUUUAGAGCGCCUUUGCGAAUGUGGCCCCGCGUCAUCUGCUUGAACUGAAGGUCCACCUGGGAAGUUUUGCUGAGGAAGGAAGCAGUAACCAAUGUAAGUGCAGCUACCAAUUUCCUAAAAUAGGCUGUCCCGCCCUCGCAAGGGUUUAUGACAAUACUCCUGUGCGAACAGGAAUGUAAAGUGAUUUUCUAGAAAAAGUAGGUCGGGAUAUUGAGUUACAACAAUGGCUCUAGAGUGUAAAUUAUUCAUGACAAGUCUGGUUGGAUUCUUUUAGAAUUUAUGGUUAACGCAUGGAUUAGAGAGCAACUCAGGAUGAAAACAACCUGCCGUCAUCUUCAAGUUCUACAGUCCAGGGAGGCGUUGUUUCAAAUCAGCCGGCAUGCCUUUGCAUGGCUCCUAGUUCUAGUCACCAGGGUUUUAUUGAGUGUUUAUUAUGUGCCCAAGCAUUGUUGGGAAAUAAGUGACGUGUGAAGGGUCUGUAUGCAUCAGUGAGAUUGGUUGACCAACCAGACACAGAAAUGGCACCCUUUCCUUUGUCAUUCUGUUUUAUUCACUGAGGGCCUGUAUGAGUGAGGCACCGUGUUACAGCGGCUUUACAUUCUGACUCUCAUUAAAGUCUUAGGGUAACUUUCAGGU